rnacentral:rRNA from 1 species
GGGUCGUGGGUAGGACUCUGGGUCACCUCCCACCCGUGUUUAUCGUACCUUGUUGCUUCGGCGGGCCCGCCUCACGGCCGCCGGGGGGCAUCCGCCCCCGGGCCCGCGCCCGCCGAAGACACACAAACGAACUCUUGUCUGAAGAUUGCAGUCUGAGUACUUGACUAAAUCAGUUAAAACUUUCAACAACGGAUCUCUUGGUUCCGGCAUCGAUGAAGAACGCAGCGAAAUGCGAUAAGUAAUGUGAAUUGCAGAAUUCAGUGAAUCAUCGAGUCUUUGAACGCACAUUGCGCCCCCUGGUAUUCCGGGGGGCAUGCCUGUCCGAGCGUCAUUGCUGCCCUCAAGCACGGCUUGUGUGUUGGGCUCUCGCCCCCCGCUUCCGGGGGGCGGGCCCGAAAGGCAGCGGCGGCACCGCGUCCGGUCCUCGAGCGUAUGGGGCUUCGUCACCCGCUCUGUAGGCCCGGCCGGCGCCCGCCUGCGAACACCAUCAAUCUUAACCAGGUUGACCUCGGAUCAGGUAGGGAUACCCGCUGAACUUAAGCAUAUCAAAAGCGGAGGAA